UCACGCCGAUGAUGAUCGCCUGAGGCAGCUUCUUACUGCCCUCACCCAACGAACUUAAUUUACCUGAAAAAUACGAACCUCCAGCCUCUAAAUCAACAUCCAGAGGGUUGAACACCUGCUUAUUUGCCUCAACUACAGGAUCACAAUGCUUUUACGGUUGGCAAGCGUAACCUCAAGUAAACAAGAAGACCUGUUAUGGAUCAGAGUGUGAAUCUUAGGCAACAACAACAAGCUGUGGGGGCCCGUUUACUCUGGACAGCUUUAUGUGCCGAUUUGGGACAUCUCAGCAUGAGAGAGACAUCUUUAUGGGCAGCAUUGUCUGAGAAAUACAGGCAGGUUGAAGGCAGAAGCAUGAGAUAUUUCUUUAUUGUUGCCUAAAACCCAAAUGUGAGUAUCUUUUUAUACAUUGCACUUUAAAAAAAGAACAGUAAUAGCUUGAACAAACUAUCUCUAAAACAAUAAACCAAACUCAAAACUGGUCCCCAGGCACCUUAGCAACCAUCCUGGCCACCAUUUAGGGUUUUGCACAGGCCAGCAAACAAAGUGUGUCGGAGAGCUUUGGUGCAUGGUUCCAGAUUCGCUUAAGGCACUCUUAUACUGUACUGUAUGUUUGCACUGUGCUUUUGGUUUAUAGCCUUUAUAGUAAUAACAGGGCAGGCGUGCACUUACUCCAGGUACAACAGAGCAGUCUUUUAGGUGAAAUAGUGCCAGUAGGGUCACUUAAAGUCACUGAAAGCUUCUCCAUAGGUGUUAUAAGUACACAUAAGGUUCUAGAUGAAAUGAGAAGUGCUGUUUUUUUUGUCUGCGUUUUAUCUUUUCCCAUGUGAUCAUCCAAGGUCUGAAGCACUUCAGGUGUAUAUGAAUUUGGUUCAGUUUUGCGCAGUUUGUCAUCUGGGUUAUUGUUUAAAGCAGUCCAAGUCCAGAAACCAUUUAUCUUCCUUAAAUUUAUAGAGCAUGGAAAUCCUGCCA